AACGAACGCUGGCGGCAGGCCUAACACAUGCAAGUCGAACGCCCCGCAAGGGGAGUGGCAGACGGGUGAGUAACGCGUGGGAACCUUCCCAGUGGUACGGAAUAACUGACCGAAAGGUUGGCUAAUACCGUAUACGCCCGAAAGGGGAAAGAUUUAUCGCCAUUGGAUGGGCCCGCGUCGGAUUAGCUAGUUGGUGAGGUAAUGGCUCACCAAGGCGACGAUCCGUAGCUGGUCUGAGAGGAAGAUCAGCCACACUGGGACUGAGACACGGCCCAGACUCCUACGGGAGGCAGCAGUGGGGAAUAUUGGACAAUGGGCGCAAGCCUGAUCCAGCCAUGCCGCGUGAGUGAUGAAGGUCUUCGGAUUGUAAAACUCUUUCGCCGGGGAAGAUAAUGACGGUACCCGGAGAAGAAGCUCCGGCUAACCUCGUGCCAGCCGCCGCCGUAA
rnacentral:rRNA from 1 species